AGCGAACGCUGGCGGCAGGCCUAACACAUGCAAGUCGAACGAACCCUUCGGGGUUAGUGGCGGGCGGGUGAGUAACACGUGGGAACGUGCCUUUAGGUUCGGAAUAACUCAGGGAAACUUGUGCUAAUACCGAAUGUGCCCUUCGGGGGAAAGAUUUAUCGCCUUUAGCAGCGGCCCGCGUCUGAUUAGCUAGUUGGGGAGGUAAUGGCUCACCAAGGCUACGAUCAGUAGCUGGUCUGAAAGGAUGACCAGCCACAAUGGGACUGAGACACGGCCCAAACUCCUACGGGAGGCAGCAGUGGGGAAUCUUGCGCAAUGGGCGAAAGCCUGACGCAGCCAUGCCGCGUGGAUGAUGAAGGUCUUAGGAUUGUAAAAUCCUUUCACCGGUGAAGAUAAUGACUGUAGCCGGAGAAGAAGCCCCGGCUAACUUCGUGCCAGCAGCCGCCGUAAUAC
rnacentral:rRNA from 1 species